rnacentral:tRNA from 1 species
GCACCGGUAGUACAGUGGUUAGUAUACGGCCUUGCCAAGGCUGUGACCUGGGUUCAAAUCCCAGCCGGUGCA